rnacentral:lncRNA from 1 species
AUGACGUGGCAAAUGGAGAGGAGAGGGAGUGGGGCCACAAGAAGCAUCACAAGCACCACCAUGUUGAAGGAGAAGAGGAGCAUGAGCAUGAGCAUGAGCAUGAGCAUGAGGAGCAUGAUCAUGAGCAUGAUCACGAGGAGCAUGAGCAUGAGCAUGAGGAGCAUGAUCAUGAGCAUGAUCACGAGGAGCAUGGGCACGGGCACGGGCACGGGCACGAUCACGAGCAUGAGCAUGGGCACGAUCACGAGGAGCACGGGCACGGGCAUGAGGAGCACGGGCACGAGCAUGAGCACGAGGAGCAUGAGCAUGAGCAUGGGCAUGGGCAUGGACAUGAGCAUGAGGGGCAUGGGCAUGGACAUGAGCAUGAGGGGCAUGGGCAUGAAUGGGGAUUGUUCAAGGGGAUUCGCAAGUUUUUGAAGCAUAAUUUUUGAGGAGAUUUGGAAGGUAUUAAUGUUAUUAUAAAUAUAUUAUGGGGGUGUUUAAGUAUGUGUAUUGUAUUGUUUUGUGUUGUGGUUAAGUAAUGUA